rnacentral:rRNA from 1 species
AGUGAACGCUGGCGGUAGGCCUAACACAUGCAAGUCGAACGGCAGCACAGUAAGAGCUUGCUCUUACGGGUGGCGAGUGGCGGACGGGUGAGGAAUACAUCGGAAUCUACUUUUUCGUGGGGGAUAACGUAGGGAAACUUACGCUAAUACCGCAUACGACCUACGGGUGAAAGCAGGGGAUCUUCGGACCUUGCGCGAUUGAAUGCGCCGAUGUCGGAUUAGCUGGUUGGCGGGCUAAAGGCCCACCAAGGCGACGAUCCGUAGCUCGUCGGAGAGGAGGAUAGGCCACACUGGAACGGAGACACGGUCCAGACUCCUACGGGAGGCAGCAGUGGGGAAUAUUGGACAAUGGGCGCAAGCCUGAUCCAGCCAUACCGAGUGGGUUAAGAAGGCCUUCGGGUUGUAAAGCCCUUUUGUUGGGAAAGAAAAGCAGCAGGUUAAUACCCAGCUGUUCUGACGGUACCCAAAGAAUAAGCACCGGCUAACUUCGUG